rnacentral:rRNA from 1 species
CCGCCCGUCACAGCAUGGGAGUCAGCUGCUCCAGAAGUGCCUGCGCUAACCGUAAGGAGACAGGGUACCAAGGAGUGGUUGGUAACUGGGCUG